GUAACUGAGGAAUGAAAAACAUGCAGUGCCUAAAGGAGCUAACACAGAAGGGUGAAGUAAGUCUUCAUAAAACCCACGAGAAGAGACGGUAAAACUUGUCUUUGGAUUCCAUCCAGAGUUAUAGCU